GCCUGGUCCUGAUUUAAAUUGAACUAUGUCUGUGAAACCGCCCAGUAGUGAAACAGGACAAAUAUAAGCACCCCCUAUUUGACCUUUUCAAAUGGUGAUUGGUGGGGUGGUGUGGUGCUAAAUGCUGAUUGGUGGGGUGGUGUGGUACUAGAUGCUGAUAGGUGAUGUGUUACUAAAUGCUGAUUGGGGUGUGGUACUAAAUGCUGAUUGGUGGGGUGGUGUGGUACUAAAUGCUGAUUGGUGGGGUGGUGUGGUACUAAAUGCUGAUAGGUGGGGUGGUGUGGUACUAAAUGCUGAUAGGUGGGGUGGUGUGGUACUAGAUGCUGAUUGGUGGGGUGGUGUGGUACUAAAUGCUGAUAGGUGGGGUGGUGUGGUACUAAAUGCUGAUAGGUGGGGUGGUGUGGUACUAGAUGCUGAUAGGUGGGGUGGUGUGGUACUAAAUGCUGAUAGGUGGGGUGGUGUGGUACUAGAUGCUGAUUGGUGGGGUGGUGUGGUACUAAAUGCUGAUAGGUGGGGGUGGUGUGGUACUAAAUGCUGAUUGGUGGGGUGGUGUGGUACUAAAUGCUGAUAGGUGGGGUGGUGUGGUACUAAAUGCUGAUUGGUGGGGUGGUGUGGUACUAAAUGCUGAUAGGUGGGGUGGUGUGGUACUAAAUGCUGAUAGGUGGGGUGGUGUGGUACUAGAUGCUGAUUGGUGGGGUGGUGUGGUACUAAAUGCUGAUAGGUGGGGUGGUGUGGUACUAGAUGCUGAUUGGUGGGUUGGUGUGGUACUAAAUGCUGAUAGGUGGGGUGGUGUGGUACUAAAUGCUGAUUGGUGGGGUGGUGUGGUACUAAAUGCUGAUUGGUGGGGUGGUGUGGUACUAAAUGCUGAUAGGUGGGGUGGUGUGGUACUAAAUGCUGAUAGGUGGGGUGGUGUGGUACUAGAUGCUGAUUGGUGGGUUGGUGUGGCUAUAGGUCUUGUAAUAGG